rnacentral:rRNA from 1 species
CUAACACAUGCAAGUCGAACGAUGACAAAGAGCUUGCUCUUUUGAUUAGUGGCGCACGGGUGAGUAUACCAUAGAUAAUGUACCCCUUAGUUCGGGAUAGCCACUGGAAACGGUGAUUAAUACCGGAUACUCCUUCUCAUUAUAAGAUGAGUCGGGAAAGUUUUUUCGCUAAGGGAUCAGUCUAUGUCCUAUCAGCUAGUUGGUGAGGUAAUGGCUCACCAAGGCUAUGACGGGUAUCUGGUUUGAGAGGAUGAUCAGACACACUGGAACUGAGACACGGUCCAGACUCCUACGGGAGGCAGCAGUGAGGAAUAUUGCACAAUGGAGGAAACUCUGAUGCAGCAACGCCGCGUGGAGGAUGACGCACUUCGGUGUGUAAACUCCUUUUAUUAGGGAAGAUAAUGACGGUACCUAAUGAAUAAGCACCGGCUAACUCCGUGCCAGCAGCCGCGGUAAUACGGAGGGUGCAGGCGUUACUCGGAAUCACUGGGCGUAAAGGGUGCGUAGGCUGGCUUCUAAGUCAGAUGUGAAAUCCAAUGGCUCAACCAUUGAACUGCAUUUGAAACUGGGAGCCUAGAGUUCAGAAGGGGCAGAUGGAAUUAGUGGUGUAGGGGUAAAAUCCGUAGAUAUCACUAGGAAUAUCAAAAGCGAAGGCGAUCUGCUGGGAUGAUACUGACGCUGAGGCACGAAGGCGUGGGGAGCAAACAGGAUUAGAUACCCUGGUAGUCCACGCCCUAAACGAUGAAUGCUAGUCGUCGGGAAGCUCGUCUUUUCGGUGACGCACUU